UCCAAGCGUGUCCGGCCCUCACUCCAGAACGAAAAGGCGAGGUCAUCACUCCCUGCUUACAGGGCUGGGAGUAAUUGCCUGUAGAGAGCAAGAAAUUGCCCUGCCCGUAGGCUGAGAAAACGCAUUUGGCGAGUCUCCUCGACGGAGGGCGUAGAGGGGCGGGGUAACUUACACCUGCCUGCGACACCAUCCUGUUAGUUUCUAGUUCUGUUAGUUUAAGCCCUUACGUGCUCAUCCCUCUUUAAAGACUGAACCGGGGCUUGAGCUCAAGCCUGGAUCCUGUUACCUACCUUGCCCUCAGCCCCACUUAGUCAGCCUACUGUAGCUGAGGGUCUUGCUAUUUCCGGCUGAAUUGAGAUAGACGAAUGGCUUCCGUCUGUGUUGAAUGUUGUUAACACAACCUGCCAUCUCAAACACGCGUUGAUAAGGCACAGCGUCUAAUGCCUCAUGGUUCGAACAGACUCCUCCAGUUUUCUGCAGACUCGAGUCCAGCAGGCACAUGCCCCCAGGCCCUGCCAAUACCCAAAAUCUGCCAACAUUUGCCACUAAGCUGCUUAUCCAAGACAAUGACAUAUUAGAAGUAGAGCGUUAGGAAGUCAGUUCUCCUCUUGAGGCUUAAUUUUUGCACGUGCAAAUAAGGGAUUUGGGCCGGCAUGAGUUCACCAGCGCUAAAAUAAUACUGAGCUCAUUCUGUUUCCCAGAACUGGUGCGAAGUGUUUUACAUACAUUAUCCCAUGUAAUCCCAACACCACCAGUGCUAGGUAAUAUUCGCAUUUGAGGAAAAACAGGCACAGAGUCCUAAAAGUCCGUGGUUUUAGUUUAUGGCUGUGUGCCAUGGAAUACAAGGUUACCGUGUUUUGGGAACCAGCUACUUUGGGUACAUUUUAAAAAGUAAUAUUGUUGCCUUUGAUAAUCUCAUGAGUUAGAGAUGUUCUUACAAUAAUAAUGUGUUGCAGUAGUGAACGGUGGUGAGCCUAGUGCUAAAGCUAAAAGGUUUCCUGACCCACUGUGGUAGUAAGGGUUUCUAGUCAGACAAAUGACUGUGGUGACCAAUGUGGGUCCCAUUUUACAUACAGAUGGGAAAUGAGGUAUAUAUUCCAGCUUUAUGAAAACUGGUAGUCCUUAUGAAUAUUCACUUUAUUACAUUUACUGAUAAAGUCCUCAUUCCUAUAAUGGUGUGUUGGGCUGUAUGCCCACACUACAUGGCUCUCUGAAUCGCUUUGUUUUUAAGUUCCAUUGUCUGUUACAGUUUGCCUGUCCCUUCUUUCAUUGUCAGCUGUUGCUUUUUACUGCUGUCAGUGAACAUAGUUCUAUUAUCCUCACCACCCUUUUAAUUUACUACUCUUAAUCUACAGGCAAGAAAACCACAUAGUGAAGCUUGUGCAAAACUGUAUCUCAAGAGUAUAAAUAGGUACUUUGAGGGGCUAUUAAAAAAUAAGUGUAACCCUUGUGCUAGAACAUUAUAAAAUUAGUUUUAAGCUGCUUAAUUUUUUUUUUUUAUGCCUUACAGGUUUGAUCUUUUCCAGAGUUAGGAAUAGAUACAUUUCCUGAAGUUAAUUCUUGAAAAUUUAGAAUUUAAAAUAUUUACCCAUGUUUUAGGAUACUUGAUGAUGAUACAAUUCUAACCAUAUUGAGGUUAAUAUUUGAAAUGUUCAGUGUUCCUGCCUGAUAGGGUUUGGCUUUGUGUCCCCACCCAGCUUUCAUGACAAAUUGUAAUCUGCAUGUGUUGAAGGAGGGGCCCUGUGGGAGAUAAUUGGGUCCUGGGGGCAGUUUCUGAUGGUUUAGCACCAUCCCACUAGUGCUGUUUCAUGAAUGAGUUCUCAAGAGAUCUGGUUGUUUAAAAGUAUUUAUCACUACCCCUCUCUCACCUGCCACAAUGUGAAGAAAGUCCUUGUACCCUUCACCUUCCGCCAUGAUCGUAAGUUUCCCUGAGGCCUCCCAGUCAUGCUUACUCUUAAGCCUGCAGAACUGUGAGUCAGUUAAACCUCUUUUCUUCAUAAAUUACCCAGUCUCAGGUAGUUCUUUAUAGCAGUGUGAAAACGUACGAAUAUACCACCACACUGAAUCAAAUAAGCAAGAUACCAAUUCAAGCUAUAGAAUCGAAAAUAUGGAUUUUACAUGCAUGUAUUGUUUAAUACUGUUAAUUAGUUACAAAAGAACCCAGAAACCUUUUAACCCAUGGUCAUUGCUUGUAGGAUUUUUUUAACGAUUUUUUAAAGCUGCAUAGAUGCAUCUUCACGUAUGUUGCAUGUAUGUUUCAGAAAUAAAUUAUUUGCUAAGAAGUCACAGAAAAGACCAAGUAUUGGACCACUCUAACAGUUAUCACCUGUUAUAGUACAAAACACACUGUGUGAUCGAUUAAAAAAAAGUACAUAACCAAGCUAAAGUGGGGCAGACAUAGUUCCUGAAUGUAAAAUGUUCAACAUUAUCUAUUAAUUUAGAAUGUUGUGUUUCAACUUUGGAUUCUUUUCUUUCUCUCCGAUCAGAAUGAUUGGAAGAGACAGGGAAUAACACAUUUGUAUCUGAACUACUUGAAGAAAAAUCUGAAGCCCUGAUUAUAUAUAUAGAUUGUGCAUUUCUAUAAUCUGUAGUCUGGAGAAAACAUCUUCCAAGUUCUGUUGGGCCAUUCUUCCUAUUGGAAGUAUACUAAUAGUAUCUUCUCACUGAAACAUGUCAUAGAUCUCACCCGCCCCACACACCAAUAUCACAGUAAUAAUACAUAAAACCUUCAUUUAAAUUGUUUUUGAAUGUGUAUAUCAAUGGUUACAGCAUAUGACUGAACUUUUUUCAUCCUUAAAAAUGUUUUUUUAAAGCAAUAUAUAACCACUAAUGAAGAAAAAUAAAGAUUACUGAUUGACAUAACA